AUUUAAUACAGGCCAAACCUGUAUCUAAAGUCUAGUAUCUGUUCUAACCAGUUUAAUAUCUGGUAUGUCUUUGGUGAGAGGACUUUUUAGUAAAUGAAUUUUUACGCCUGGAAGUUGGACCUGGAACUUGCUCUCUCUGCUCCAUGCAUCCGUCCUGGUGUGCGGUGCCUUUGGGAACAGUGCACUAAUU
ensembl:snRNA U2 U2 spliceosomal RNA